rnacentral:rRNA from 1 species
GACGGAGGAUGCAAGCGUUAUCCGGAAUUAUUGGGUGUAAAGCGUCCGUAGGCGGUUUCAAAAGUCUGUUGUUAAAGCCCACAGCUCAACUGUGGAUCGGCAAUGGAAACUGUGAGACUAGAGAGUGGUAGGGGCAAAGGGAAUUCCUGGUGUAGCGGUGAAAUGCGUAGAGAUCAGGAAGAACAUCGGUGGCGAAGGCGCUUUGCUGGACCAUAACUGACACUCAGGGACGAAAGCUAGGGGAGCGAAUGGG